UUGGAGCUCAGAGAGGGUGAACUUGUCAA
rnacentral:piRNA from 1 species